GGGCUUGUGGUUUAGUGGUAUAAUACUCCCUUAGCACGUGACGAAGCACGGCUGCCCUGUCCGCGAUUUCGAACCCGUCUAAUGUGGGAGUGGUCCGGGGUUCGAUUCCCCGCGAGUCCA